UACGUAGGGUGCAAGCGUUGUCCGGAAUUAUUGGGCGUAAAGAGCUCGUAGGCGGUUCGUCGCGUCGGCUGUGAAAACCUGAGACUCAACCUCAGGCCUGCAGUCGAUACGGGCGGACUUGAGUACUGCAGGGGAGACUGGAAUUCCUGGUGUAGCGGUGAAAUGCGCAGAUAUCAGGAGGAACACCGGUGGCGAAGGCGGGUCUCUGGGCAGUAACUGACGCUGAGGAGCGAAAGCGUGGGGAGCGAACAGG
rnacentral:rRNA from 1 species